GAUCGCACUUGAAAAUAAACUGCUCGAUGAAGCAGGGGCCGCUCUCUGCUUCCAAAAUGUUUGUAAUAUUUCUUUCACGCGCGCUCCCACCCCCAGCCUUUGCCCCAUGUGCCGCGCACCAGCAUCCCACCCAGGUGGCAAGCGACGGAGUCCCCUCUGAUGGUGAUAAUUCUGCUCUCUGUUGGUUCACAGAAUCAUUUUAAAAUAAGGCAACUAACAUCACCACAUUUUUACCGCUAUCAAGGAAAAUGUUUCCGACACAAGCAGAUGGGCUGAACAUAUUUCCACUUUCAUCUGGGCCAUUUACAGAGAUGAACCCCUACCUUCCUUAGAGCCUGGAUGUGGUCGUUUCCAUGGUGAUGGGGGGUGGGUGGGAGAUCAGCUGGACUGCUCUUCUAAGUCCUGGAAGACUGGGCAUUUUCCAGUGUGGAGAUUAAGGGUUUGUCCACAAGGUGGCAGAACUGAGACACAAAACCGAUCUAGUUGAAAUUUAAUUGCCCCCUACUUAUUUAAUUAAGGCCACCAGCUUAUUGUUCCAAGGGCCAUUGCAAUUCAUUCUUCACCUCUCCUGAUUAUAACAAUUAAACUCUACGCAUCUCGCUCCCCUAACGGCCCGUGGUGUGAGCCCUUUAAUCAGACUAAUGUCUACUCUGCUAGCCUCCAGGUCCAACCCAACGUCACACUGCUGCUGCUGCUAGGUCGACGUUUGCCCAAUAGGUAUAUCUGGAAAAUUCUGUGUGAAGAUCUCUCCAAUAUGGCUUCCGCUAUGGCCUGAUCUCGUCAAAAUGCCAAUGAUUUUCACCCUUCUUGUUGACUAUGCUAUCCUCUGUCACUUAUAUAGUGGGCUCGCCAUUUCAAAAUCGCUUCACUAAUACAUGCCUGAAGGAUUCCAUCCAUCCAUCUUACCAGGAAGGCCAGGAGACCCUCGUC